UACGAACUGUGCGAACGUUAUUCGGAAUCACUGGGCUUACAGGGUGCGUAGGCGGCUCAACAAGUCAGGUGUGAAAGCCCCCGGCUCAACCGGGGAACUGCGCUUGAAACUGUUAGGCUCGAGUCAGCUAGAGGUACACGGAACUUCCAGUGGAGCGGUGAAAUGUGUUGAUAUUGGAAGGAACACCGGAGGCGAAAGCGGUGUACUGGGGCUGGUCUGACGCUGAGGCACGAAAGCCAGGGUAGCGAACGGG
rnacentral:rRNA from 1 species